ACCACGAUUUAAAUAAAAUUGUUUUACAUAUCAUAGAAUAGAAGAUGACAUUACACUUUUCACAUGGAAACUUUUUGAAAAGAAGAAGGUGGGGAAUUUGCCACAUUAAAUACACUACGUUAUUCGAUAUUACUCUUAUUCGACGAUUUACUGAGCGGAGUUUUAUUUCUUUGUUGAACUCAAAUGUAUCUAGUGUCAUAUUUUCCAGUUUCUUAUUCCUACUCAAAGAAGAGAGUGGUUAGAAAGUCUCUGAGAUACAUGCUCAAAAGGAACACACUCGGUCAUCUGAUUUCUCUCUUGUGUUGUUGAUAAGUGCACAAGAAAACUCAAUUGAUCUAAUUAUAACAAUUUCUCGGUUAGUUUACAGAUUCGUCUACAGAUUACAAAAAUCCUCUCGAAAUUCGUAUACAAAACAAUAAUAGAAGUAUCGAUGUCGUGUUCAAUGGA
rnacentral:lncRNA from 1 species